rnacentral:ncRNA from 2 species
UUCUUAUUAAGAGAGACUGAGGGACUGGCCCUUUGAUGUCCGGCAACCUGAAAUUAUGUUUCAAGGUGCUAAUUCCAGCAGAUAUUAUAUCUGAGAGAUAAGAA